rnacentral:rRNA from 1 species
AGAGUUUGAUCAUGGCUCAGAUUGAACGCUGGCGGCAGGCCUAACACAUGCAAGUCGAGCGGUAACAUUCCUAGCUUGCUAGAAGAUGACGAGCGGCGGACGGGUGAGUAAUGCUUGGGAAUAUGCCUUAGGGUGGGGGACAACAGUUGGAAACGACUGCUAAUACCGCAUAACGUCUACGGACCAAAGGGGGCUUCGGCUCUCGCCCUUAGAUUAGCCCAAGUGGGAUUAGCUAGUUGGUGAGGUAAUGGCUCACCAAGGCGACGAUCCCUAGCUGGUUUGAGAGGAUGAUCAGCCACACUGGAACUGAGACACGGUCCAGACUCCUACGGGAGGCAGCAGUGGGGAAUAUUGCACAAUGGGCGCAAGCCUGAUGCAGCCAUGCCGCGUGUGUGAAGAAGGCCUUAGGGUUGUAAAGCACUUUCAGUAAGGAGGAAAGGUUAGUAGUUAAUACCUGCUAGCUGUGACGUUACUUACAGAAGAAGCACCGGCUAACUCCGUGCCAGCAGCCGCGGUAAUACGGAGGGUGCGAGCGUUAAUCGGAAUUACUGGGCGUAAAGCGUACGCAGGCGGUUUGUUAAGCGAGAUGUGAAAGCCCCGGGCUCAACCUGGGAACUGCAUUUCGAACUGGCAAACUAGAGUAUGAUAGAGGGUGGUAGAAUUUCAGGUGUAGCGGUGAAAUGCGUAGAGAUCUGAAGGAAUACCGAUGGCGAAGGCAGCCACCUGGGUCAAUACUGACGCUCAUGUACG